rnacentral:rRNA from 1 species
AUUGAACGCUGGCGGCAGGCCUAACACAUGCAAGUCGAACGGUAACAGGAAGCAGCUUGCUGCUUCGCUGACGAGUGGCGGACGGGUGAGUAAUGUCUGGGAAACUGCCUGAUGGAGGGGGAUAACUACUGGAAACGGUAGCUAAUACCGCAUAACGUCGCAAGACCAAAGAGGGGGACCUUAGGGCCUCUUGCCAUCGGAUGUGCCCAGAUGGGAUUAGCUAGUAGGUGGGGUAACGGCUCACCUAGGCGACGAUCCCCAGCUGGUCUGAGAGGAUGACCAGCCACACUGGAACUGAGACACGGUCCAGACUCCUACGGGAGGCAGCAGUGGGGAAUAUUGCACAAUGGGCGCAAGCCUGAUGCAGCCAUGCCGCGUGUAUGAAGAAGGCCUUCGGGUUGUAAAGUACUUUCAGCGGGGAGGAAGGGAGUAAAGUUAAUACCUUUGCUCAUUGACGUUACCCGCAGAGGAAGCACCGGCUAACUCCGUG